CGUCGUGGUCUGUGAUGACAAAUUCCACACAAUCAGUGCUCUCUCCCUCGUCAACACUGCUGUUGAAUUUCAUCUUGUGAAAACCAUAGGGUGGGGGCUCCCAAGAGACCAGCAUGGUACUACUGCAUGCUACAAGAGCAAAAGGGAAGCUCCAGAUUUUUCUUGCCAUCCUGAGAGACGACGGUGCGGCUAUGCAAAUGACCUCCGCCGCAUGAUGGAAAGCCCUGUCCGCCACCAAUCUUGGAUGUGCUCUUAUGUCCUCAAAGAC
rnacentral:lncRNA from 1 species